rnacentral:rRNA from 1 species
UACGAAGGGGGCUAGCGUUGCUCGGAAUCACUGGGCGUAAAGGGCUCGUAGGCGGCCAACUAAGUCAGACGUGAAAUCCCCGGGCUCAACCUGGGAACUGCGUCCGAUACUGGCAGGCUUGAAUCCGGGAGAGGGAUGUGGAAUUCCAGGUGUAGCGGUGAAAUGCGUAGAUAUCUGGAGGAACACCGGUGGCGAAGGCGGCAUCCUGGACCGGUAUUGACGCUGAGGCGCGAAAGCUAGGGGAGCAAACGGG